rnacentral:rRNA from 1 species
UACGUAGGGGGCGAGCGUUGUCCGGAUUUAUUGGGCGUAAAGAGCGUGUAGGCGGCCAGGUAGGUCCGUUGUGAAAACUCGAGGCUCAACCUCGAGACGUCGAUGGAAACCAUCUGGCUAGAGUCCGGAAGAGGAGAGUGGAAUUCCUGGUGUAGCGGUGGAAUGCGCAGAUAUCAGGAGGAACACCGAUGGCGAAGGCAGCUCGCUGGGACGGUACUGACGCUGAGGAGCGAAAGCGUGGGGAGCGAACAGG